CUGUGGGAGCUGCUGGCUGUAGGAAGAGGAAGCAGGGCCUGCUCCUUCCCCAGCAGCUUCUCCCAGUUGUGUUGGGAGGGGUGGCUAUGGUGUUUCACUUGGUGCAGCCUCUAUGAAGCACGGAGGGGAGAAGAGGACACCCCUCCUUCUUGCUCACUUUGCUAAGGAGUGCACCCUGCUUCCUCUUAAACACGGAGAGGCCUUCCUCCUCUUCCUCCUCAAGAAAUGCCUGUUCCCCUUCUGCCCACGGGGCCCAUGGUGGCAGCAGCUCUGCCUUCAGCCCUGGGCUGCCAAACCCCCCCCAGAGCAGCUGGGGGCCUCUUCCUCGUGCAGGAGAAGGGGGGAACCCACGGGGAAGCCCAGCCCAGCCCAGCCCCUGCCUGCCCACAGCACGACAAGAGCCGGGCACAGCGCCUUGGUAUACAUCAUACAUUUAUUAGUGAAUAUCCCUCUCAAAAUCAGCCACAACAUUAAAAAAAAUAAUGAUUGCACUACUUGGUCAAGCAGAACUAGCAACUUUCAUUUUAAAAAAAGUACAAAUCUGUUAAAAAUUUCAAUCAGUAUAAUACACAUAUAUAUAAUACAACAUACUAGUUAUGUUAAAUGCUACAAAACCAAUAUGAUUCCAAUGGAAUGGAAAAAAAAACCAAACACUUUUAGAGCUUUAAGAACCUUUUUUUUUUUUUUCUAUAUAUUAGCCUUUUUUCAAAUACAUACAUGGGAAAAAUGAGGUAACUGUAAAAUGUGCAAGUAACAGAGCAAAAAAAAUUAUAUAUAUAUAUUUAUAUAUAUAUAUAUAUAUAUAUAUAAAAACUUUCUAACACAGAACACACGUCCUGGCGCCUGCCGGGGAGCCGCGCUCGCUCCGGAGGCCCACGGACUGGUAUAUAGAACAGUAAACAGUCCACUAUCCCACCACAGGAAAUCAUUGGUAAACAGUGGUAUCUACAGCGCAGUCAGCAAUCACAAACACCCUAAAUAAUUGGUUGGUUUUUUGUUGGGGUUUUUUUUUUUUUUUAAAGGUUUUUUUUUUUUUUGUCUUUUUUUUUGUCUUUUUGUUGUUGGGUUUUUUUUUUUUUCUUUUUUUGUUUUUUUUUUUUUUUCUUCUUAAAUGAUACUUGUAGCUGCUCAUUGGAAUAAAUUCUGCAGCACACGAGCUGUGAGCUUUCGAGUCGCCGUCAAAGGACCGUAAGGCUUUCCUGGCUCCCUGGGCACCGCGAGGGCGGGAGGGGACGAGGGGGGGCGUCUCCGGGGCGCGAGGCCGCCGCGCGGCACGGGGACUCCUUUGGUUAUCUGUCACUGAGCGAGGGACGGGGAGGGGGCCGGGGUCCUGCCCAGGGGGCACCGAGCCCAGCG
rnacentral:lncRNA from 1 species